rnacentral:rRNA from 1 species
UACGUAGGGGGCUAGCGUUGUUCGGAUUUAUUGGGCGUAAAGGGCAUGUAGGCUGCUAUGUAAGUGUGGAUUUAAAGACGCAAGCUUAACUUGUUGUUUGGUCUGCAAACUGCGUAGCUAGAGUACAGAAGGGGAAACUGGAAUUCCGCGUGUAGGGGUGAAAUCUGUAGAGAUGCGGAAGAAUACCUGUGGCGAAAGCGAGUUUCUGGUCUGUAACUGACGCUGAAAUGCGAAAGUGUGGGGAG